rnacentral:rRNA from 1 species
GACGAACGCUGGCGGCAUGCCUAAUACAUGCAAGUUGAACGAUGAUAUUCUCUGCUUGCCGAGAAUUGAAGAGUAGCGAACGGGUGAGUAACACGUGGGGAACCUGCCCAUGAGAGGGGGAUAACAUUCGGAAACGGAUGCUAAUACCGCAUAAUGCUUUGGACCGCCUGGUCCAGAGACGAAAGACGGCUUUUGCUGUCACUCAUGGAUGGCCCCGCGCCGUAUUAGCUAGUUGGUGAGGUAAUGGCUCACCAAAGCUGUGAUACGUAGCCGACCUGAGAGGGUGAUCGGCCACACUGGGACUGAGACACGGCCCAGACUCCUACGGGAGGCAGCAGUAGGGAAUCUUCCACAAUGGGCGAAAGCCUGAUGGAGCAAUGCCGCGUGAAUGAAGAAGGUCUUCGGAUCGUAAAGUUCUGUUAUUAGAGAAGAACAAGUCAAGGAGUAACUGUCGUGACUUUGACGGUACCUAACCAGAAAGUCACGGCUAACUACGUG